GAUGAACGCUGGCGGCGUGCCUAAUACAUGCAAGUCGAGCGAACAGACGGUGAGCUUGCUCCUCUGACGUUAGCGGCGGACGGGUGAGUAACACGUGGAUAACCUACCUAUAAGACUGGGAUAACUUCGGGAAACCGGAGCUAAUACCGGAUAAUAUAUUCAACCGCAUGGUUCAAUAGUGAAAGGCGGUUUUGCUGUCACUUAUAGAUGGAUCCGCGCCGCAUUAGCUAGUUGGUAAGGUAACGGCUUACCAAGGCAACGAUGCGUAGCCGAGCUGAGAGGGUGAUCGGCCACACUGGAACUGAGACACGGUCCAGACUCCUACGGGAGGCAGCAGUAGGGAAUCUUCCGCAAUGGGCGAAAGCCUGACGCAGCAACGCCGCGUGAGUGAAGAAGGUCUUCGGAUCGUAAAACUCUGUUAUUAGGGAAGAAAAAAUGUGUAAGUAACUAUGCACGUCUUGACGGUACCUAAUCAGAAAGCAACGGCUAACUACGUG
rnacentral:rRNA from 1 species